AUUGAACGCUGGCGGCAGGCUUAACACAUGCAAGUCGAGCGGGGUGAUGGUGCUUGCACUAUCACUUAGCGGCGGACGGGUGAGUAAUGCUUAGGAAUCUGCCUACUAGUGGGGGACAACAUCUCGAAAGGGAUGCUAAUACCGCAUACGUCCUACGGGAGAAAGCAGGGGAUCACUUGUGACCUUGCGCUAAUAGAUGAGCCUAAGUCGGAUUAGCUAGUUGGUGGGGUAAAGGCCUACCAAGGCGACGAUCUGUAGCGGGUCUGAGAGGAUGAUCCGCCACACUGGGACUGAGACACGGCCCAGACUCCUACGGGAGGCAGCAGUGGGGAAUAUUGGACAAUGGGGGGAACCCUGAUCCAGCCAUGCCGCGUGUGUGAAGAAGGCCUUAUGGUUGUAAAGCACUUUAAGCGAGGAGGAGGCUACUUUAGUUAAUACCUUGCUGUUUUGACGUUACCGACAGAAUAAGCACCGGCUAACUCUGUGCCAGCCGCCGCCGUAA
rnacentral:rRNA from 1 species